rnacentral:lncRNA from 1 species
ACUAUUAAGAUUACAAAUAUAUUGUAUUAACAAAAAGCAAAAAAAUUAUAAAUCAAUUGAAAUAAUCAAAAAAUCUUUAAUCAAAUGGCAUACUCAUAAAUUAUCUUCUCAUGCAUGACACUCAUUUUAUCAUCCUCUGAUUUGCACGUCCCAAAAUUUCUCUCAUUUUGAUGUAAACACAGUGGACCGAGUAUUCAUGUGAU